GUGGGGAAUAUUGGACAAUGGGGGGAACCCUGAUCCAGCCAUGCCGCGUGUGUGAAGAAGGCCUUUUGGUUGUAAAGCACUUUAAGCGAGGAGGAGGCUACCGAGAUUAAUACUCUUGGAUAGUGGACGUUACUCGCAGAAUAAGCACCGGCUAACUCUGUGCCAGCAGCCGCGGUAAUACAGAGGGUGCAAGCGUUAAUCGGAUUUACUGGGCGUAAAGCGCGCGUAGGUGGCCAAUUAAGUCAAAUGUGAAAUCCCCGAGCUUAACGUGGGAACUGCAUUCGAUACUGGUUGGCUAGAGUAUGGGAGAGGAUGGUAGAAUUCCAGGUGUAGCGGUGAAAUGCGUAGAGAUCUGGAGGAAUACCGAUGGCGAAGGCAGCCAUCUGGCCUAAUACUGACACUGAGGUGCGAAAGCAUGGGGAGCAAACAGGAUUAGAUACCCGAGUAGUCC
rnacentral:rRNA from 1 species